rnacentral:rRNA from 1 species
GUGCUAAUACUCGCUGUGSAUGACGGUACCACUGAAGGAAGCACCGGCUAACUCCGUGCCAGCAGCCGCGGUAAUACAGAGGGUGCAAGCGUUAUUCGGAAUUACUGGGCGUAAAGAGCGCGUAGGCGGUCUCUUAAGUCAGAUGUGAAAGCCCGGGGCUCUAACCUCGCGGAAGUGCAUUUGAUAACUGGACGGACUUGAGUGAUGKGAGAGGGUAGGUGGAAUUCCUGGUGUAGCAGGUGAAAUGCGUAGAUAUCAGGGAGGAACAUCCGGUGGCGAAGGCGGCUUCCUGGACCAAUACUGACGCUGAGGCGCGAARGCGUGGGGAGCAAACAGGAUUAGAUACCCUGGUAGUCCACGCCGUAAACGAUGAGCACUAGGUGUUGCGGUAUUGACCCCUGCUGUGCCGAACGUAACGCAGUUAAGUGCUCCGC